rnacentral:tRNA from 1 species
GGGGAUGUAGCGCAGUGUAGAGCGCUCGCUUUGCAUGCGAGAGGCCCCGGAUUCGAUCCCCGGCAUCUCCA